UUCUCUGCUCACCUUCAGGCUCCAAUAGGCACUAGGCCGCCAUUAGCGACGACGAGCUCCAACAUGGGUUGUCGGACCUUCCAAAAUACUCCAACCGCCCCGUCCCAUCUCUAGUCCAGCUAGUAAUGAGGUCUUUGCUCACAAGGGAUUUGUCCUAUUUUAUGCAAUGUAGUUUUAUUUUUCUAUACAUGGGAUGAUUCUGAUGAUGAUCAAUAACUUUGGCGGUACAUUUUUUGCAGAUGAAUGUUUUGCAGGAUAUCAUCGUUGGAGGAGUAUGAUGAUAGUUGUUUUCAGGAUGAUGAUGACUUAGAUAAUAUUGCUAUGGUAUUUGAUCGGAUGGAAGAGGGUAUCAGUAAGCGGCCAAAUCAUGAAGGUGGAAAUGGAUCAAGAUGUGCAUGGAGCUCAUUGUGCGCAACGAUGAUUACUUUAAACGAAAAUGAAAUGCAUCUGGAGAACUUGGUUUCUGUGCUCGAUAAAAGAUCAUGACUAAAAUGGGCAUCAUGGCAUAUGGUGUAGCUAGCUAUUUGGAGAAAUUGAUUCGAAUUCAGGAAGGCACCAACAUCAAGACUAUGAAGAAAUUUGUAGAAACAUUGAUCAAGGUCGUCGAAACUGAGUAUCCAAGAGCACCAAAUCUAGUGGAUAUCGUAAGACUUUUGGAAAUGGCCGAAGCAAGAGGGUUCAUGGGGAUUCUUGGGUGUAUUGACUUCAUGCCCAAGAGGUCGAAGAAUUGCUCUCCAAGAUAAAAUGAAAAUUUCAUUAUCAAACAAAUUAAAUUGUUGGUCUCCGGAUCUAUGGAUUCGGCAUUUCUAUCUUGGGAUACCUGGCUCUCACAUUGACAUCAAUAUCUUGCAAAUCUCUCAUGUGAUUGCAAGGAUAACUAUUGGGGAACCUCCACCAUGCAACUUAAGGACAAUGUCCAUGACUACUAUAUGGUUUACUAUCUUGCAGAUGAUAUAUAUCCAACAUGAUCAACAUUUGUCAAGACAAUCCAAGAAUCCAAGGUAGGAAGGGAAUCCUUUUAUAAAAGGAUCAAGGAAACAUUAAGAGACAAUAAAUAAUGGUUGUGUCUUGGAAGCUCAUUUUGCAAUCGCGCGUGGACCUACUUGCUUCUAGUACCAGAAGACCUUGAGAAACAUUGUUGUGUAGUCCUCCAUAAAUUGAUCAUAGAGGAUAAGAGAUUCCAAGAGGUAGAUUAUGAGUGCAAAUGUUUAGGAACUACUACUAUCGGGACUAAGGACAAUAGAUCGACUCACUUAUUGAAGUCCACACAAAUAGAGGACAUGGUGUCACAUGAAAAACUUUGUGAUGACAUCGUAGGCUGAAAAUGGCAACUACAUAGGGGAGUAGAUACUUGAUUUGAUUCAUUUAGGCCAUAUGCUUGUGUAUGGAUGAUUCUUUACUUUUCACGAUCUUUGCUUUUGGACGAUGUUCGAGUAUGAUUUUUUUAAUAUAGAACAUUUUCAUACUA